AGGCAGAGGCAGAGGAAAGGAGGUCCUCCAUCCACUGGUUCACUCCCCAGAUGUCUGCAAUGGCCAGAGCUGCACCAAUCCGAAGCCAAGAGCCAGGAGCCUCUUCCAGGUUUCCCAUGAACACUUGGAGACAGACACCUGAGGAAGAAUGCCGUGUGAAUACGAUAAUGGCCAUCUACAAACCAAGGAGAAGUAUGGGACAGAUUCUCACAGUCCUCAGAAGGAACCAACUCCGCCAACACCUUAAUUUCAUGUUGUUAACAGAGCCCUACAAAACUGAUAACUACACUGUAGAGCUAGACCUCCUGACCAUUUAGAAGCUUACCAGUUAAAGCCAAUGUCCUGAAAUUGCUACAGGAUUUUUACUAAUACAGAGAAUAGUCUACUACAGACUGAUAUGGAAGGAAAGAAAGCUCAUGUUUCUCAAAUCUUCCUCAGAAUAAGUGUUUUGAUGGGAAAACUCACUUAUUUGCUUAUAAUUUGCUCAAGUGCUCUACAAACUUCAAACUUUCCCUGAUCUCAAUUAAAUGCAUUAUUUUCCAGAAUAGGGACAAGACAUUUAUUGCCUAGUUUUACAAGAAACACUGCUGUUUUGCAGGUAGAUUACAGUGCAUACUUUUUAAAGAAAACUGAUUUGUAAGUUCAUUUGAUUAAAUGAGACAAGAUAUUUGGAAACAUAUUGAAUUGUCACACAGUUGGAGGAUGAACACUUUAAUGGCUGAUCAGAAAAUGGAAUUAAAUGUACAAAUCAGUGUAUACUUUCCAAACGAUAAAACAAGCUAAAAAACAAACAAACAAAAACCUCAUGCAGUCCUACCACAAUAUGGUGAUUCAGGGAUACUGCUAACAAACUAAGUUAAUAACACAAGUAAAGAAAAGAACCCAGAUAUUUUAUUAGUACAUUCUUUUCAUUACCUAGGAAAUAAUAAGCAUAUCUGCAAUGACCUAUUUUCAGGGAUCUUCUGGAUUUAUUAAACCCAAACACCGAAUGUCUUGGCAUUAACAUUUCUGCCAUGGCAGUGCAAAACAGCUCUCUUCACAGUGCCAUUUUAGGUUGGUACUAUGCGAUAGUGAGAAUUAAUUGUAGGAGUAUUUUGUAAUUCUGUUUUGAAACAAAAUACAGAUUGUCUGUAACAAGAAAUAGUAAAGGCACAUAAGUGAGAUCUUAAAUAGUCUACACUUUAUAACAUGCAAAUAGUUAAUUUAUGAAAGAAAGUAUACUGUGGGCCAAACCAAAUAUUUUAGAUAUGAGUGCUACCUGAGUUUUUAAUGCUGUCCAAAGAUUUUCUAUGUUAAGUUGCUGAUGCUUCCAACAAUAUACUGAAGGAUCUCAGUAAAUAAGAACUCAAAUCCUUUAGUCAGCAAGUUAAACCUUAAUGUAUUCAAGACCUUUAAUAACUGGCCAGUAAGAAUAAUUUAUAAGUAAUGUUCCCACACAAAAGAUGAAUCUUCCUCUCAGGAAUGAACAAAACAAUUCUGUUGAAUGUUUUUCUGGGGAAAAAGUUUUGAGUUUUUCAUAUUUUGGAAUAUUUACAUAGACUACACUAGUUGAGCAUCCCUCAUCCCAAAAUUCAAAUUGCUCUAAAUUCUGGCAUCAUGUCAGCACUCAAAAAGCUAGAUUUCAGAUUUCUGGAUUAGGGAUACUCAAUCUGUACCUAUAACUGAGCCUUCUCCAAGCCAAGCGGCAGCUUUGUAGUAAGUCAGUUUUCAGGCUUGCCCAAGUACGAGCAGAUUCACAGAGCACGAUAAUCUAAUCAAAUUUCCUCUUCCUGAAGCCAUCCAUAUAAUUUUGAUGAUUGUCUCAAAAACAAAGAAGAAAUUUCUAAAUGCAUAAUACUAAAUGCCUGAUGAGCUCUAUCACCCAUUACAACAUCCUAGUAUUAUCAAAUCAUUAAGAACCUCCAAUUAAUUCUGCACUUGCAUUCUCAAAAUCAAGACAAAAAUAAUGGGGGAGCAAAAGAUUUUCUUAGGUGUUAGCAACAAGCAAAUACAUCUAUAUAAAUGGUAAAUAUUUCCCACAUACCCCUCCCAAGUCUAUCUGCUGCCAACAAAAGGUUUAACUGUUGAAAAGUUCUGCCAUCAAAUAAAAGUGAGAAGUUGUUUCAUUGGCUUUCUAUAGGGUAAACUACCAUCAUGGAAAAUUGUGCUCUGGGUUAAAUCAUCAGUGAAAAGUUUUAAAACUGUCUCACUGGGCCGGCUCCACGGCUCACCAGGCUAAUCUUCUGCCUGCAGAGCUGGCACUCUGGGUUCUAGUCCUGGUUAGGGUGCCGGAUUCUGUCCCGGUUGCUCCUUUUCCAGUCCUGCUCUCUGCUGUAGCCUGGAAAGGCAGUGGAGGAUGGCCCAAGUGCUUGGGCCCUGCACCCACAUGGGAGACCAGGACGAGGCACCUGGCUCCUGGCUUCAGAUCAGUGCAGCGCCGGCCGUAGCGGCCAUCUGGGGGGUGAAACAACGCAAGGAAGACCUUUCUCUCUGUCUCUCUCUAUCUCUGCCUGUCAAAAAAAAAAACAAAAACAAAACAAAAC